rnacentral:misc_RNA from 1 species
ACAAAUUCUGAAUUGUUUGCAAAAGGGUGUUUACGUGAAUGGUGCAGUUCAUUUGGAGAGGAAUUCAUUUCUGAUUCAUCUGAUGCUGUUGUUCAUUGCACGUGCAUUCUUGCAACAAUACACACGUUCCAUGUGCAUUCACUUGUGCAUGACAACAUUUCUACGAAUCAUCUGAUUGUCACAUAAUCUAAUUAUAUUAA